GCCCGGGUGGCGAAAUCGGCAGACGCAGGGGACUUAAAAUCCCCUUUCCGCAAGGAAGUGCGGGUUCAAGUCCCGCCCCGGGCACCA
rnacentral:tRNA from 1 species